rnacentral:snRNA from 1 species
GGUUGCAAGGGUGAGCUGGUUGCAAUAUCUGUCAGCCUGUUGAUCAUCAGUACUGAGUCUGCUGAUCUGGCUGGUUAGGCAGGAGUCCCCUUCUUAUCUCACCGAUCCAUGUUCAUCCAUCCUGAAGUUGCAUGCUUGGUGGAAGAGAACAAUAAUCCCAGAUAGGAGUUUACUGUUCUUUGGUCAGGGGUAUAUAACAGCUCUGCUCCUAUGCUAGAAUCGCCAAACAAGCUCAUAUUGGAAGGGGGGGGAGGAAUACUCAGGAAUGGCCAUCCUUCUGAUGCUGCUUGGGGAU